rnacentral:snRNA from 1 species
AUCGCUUCUCUGCCUUUUGGCUAAGAUCAAGUGUAGAAUUCAGGGUUGUCAAUUUUAUUAUCUAUCUACCUUUU